rnacentral:misc_RNA from 1 species
GUGAAUCAUCAAAUUUUUGAACGCAAAUUGCACUCUCUUCGGAGAGUAUGCCUGUUUGAGGGUCAGCGUAAAAUAAAUCGACAUCGUUGCUGUUGCGCGGGGGCGUUCGUCGGAAAUUGGGUUAUCUUAAGUCUUUGGCUUAAGCGACUUAAAAUUUUCUUUACGAUUGCAUGAACGAUUCCAAGAUUUAUGUCUUUACACGUGGAAGGUUUCGAUUUUAAUAGGCUUGGACGUCGCAUCGGAU